UUGUCCCUGCCCUUUUGGCACGUGUGUGCCCCUUUUGGCACGUGCAGGUUGCGCAUGCGUGCAUGCUUAUCGUGCGCAUCCUGAUUGUUUUGUGUGCCUUCUUCUUGAGACUCUCUUUGGAGCAUGAACGAUAAUCUGUUCUCUGAGUGUGGCGUCCGUGUGAUAUGAGAUAUCGAGAGUAAUCGGAAGGGCUAUCGUGCGAGGGAUUAAAACCCCCCGACGACAAUUGGCGCCCAGCUAGUGGCAUCGUUCCCCACGACCCUGAGAUCGUUUUCGUUUUCGCCGUGGCUUCAAAUCUUGCCUUCUCCACGCAUCCUCGCCAUGGCUCCGCUUUGCUCCAUCUGCUCAACCCUGACGUCGGAGCUCCUACUCAGCCCCAUCGGCUGCGUGAUGGUUUUCCGGACAACUCCUGGGCUGUCAGAUGACUGGUCACCCGGUUCAGCUGCCGCGGUCUUCGCCGUACCGUCGGUUUGCCUUGGCUUCGCACCAGGGCGAGGUGGUUGUUUUCCGGGGGCCCACGCCUGAAAGAUGGCGGUUCCCUCUAUGGGUGGGCCCAGUCUGUUUUCUUUCCACCCCUUUGCUUUGGCUUUUCCCCCGUUGUCCGGAGUUACUAAUGUAUCCUACUGUUUUGGCCCUGCGUAUCUGCAUGUGUAUGUUGUUCACAUUUGAUUUCUUCUUCUCCUGUCUGUCUUCUCGUUUUUUUUUUCUCUCCCAUCCUCAGGAGAGGAUGCAUUUUUUUUCGUGUGGAAAUAUGUUGUCCCUGCCCUUUUGGCACGUGUGUGCCCCUUUUGGCACGUGCAGGUUGCGCAUGCGUGCAUGCUUAUCGUGCGCAUCCUGAUUGUUUUGUGUGCCUUCUUCUUGAGACUCUCUUUGGAGCAUGAA